rnacentral:rRNA from 1 species
CCUACGGGUGGCAGCAGUAGGGAAUCUUCCACAAUGGGCGAAAGCCUGAUGGAGCAACGCCGCGUGGGUGAAGAAGGUCUUCGGAUCGUAAAACCCUGUUGUUAGAGAAGAAAGUGCGUGAGAGUAACUGUCCACGAUUAGACGGUAGAUAACCAGAAAGCCACGGCUAACUACGUGCCAGCAGCCGCGGUAAUACGUAGGAGGCAAGCGUUAUCCGGAUUUAUUGGGCGUAAAGGGAACGCAGGCGGUCCUUUAAGUCUGAUGGGAAAGCCUUCGGCUUAACCGGAGUAGUGCAUUGGAAACUGGGAGACUUGAGGGCAGAAGAGGAGAGUGGAACUCCAUGUGUAGCGGUGGAAGGCGUAGAUAUAUGGAAGAACACCAGUGGCGAAAGCGGCUCUCUGGUCUGUAACUGACGCUGAGGUUCGAAAGCAUGGGUAGCAAACAGGAUUAGAUACCCUAGUAGUC